UCCUUUUCCUCCUCCUCGUGCUUAUCAGAUUCCACGACAAAAAUACCACAAAAUUCCCGCCAAAUAACCACAACUACCGUUUACGUACCCACAUGGCAGGCCCCCAUUCGGCAUCCACUUACACACUACAAGUCAAAAAACAGAGAUUCACAGCCCCGCGGGCCCCACCUUCCCACCACCACUAAUUGAUCACUCUCCUAAUCCUCUCUGUACUCAAGCUGGCACCGCCGUCUACUUCUCCACUUCUACUAGAUCACUACCACCACUCCCAAAAUCUUCUAAUCCCAUUCCCAAUCCCUCCUCCAAAACCCUAACCCUAAUUCCCCAAACAUCUGCAAAUAUCACUACCAAAAACAAAAUUCUCACUUCAGCUCGUGCUUUUUAGUUGACUCAGGCAUUUUAACAAACACUUCAACAUGCUGCGGCUGCCGCGAUUCACCUGCUGUUUCCUCCUUUUACUGCUCCCGUUGAUCACGUGCUCGAAUUCGAAGCCGACGACGGUGUACGACGUGCUGCGGGCCCACGGGCUUCCGAUGGGACUGCUGCCGAAAGGGGUCGUCGAUUUCGAGGUCGACGACGCCGGCAGGUUUACGGCCCACCUGGAUCAGGCCUGCAAUGCCAAGUUCGAGAGCGAGUUGCAUUACGACAGAAACGUUUCGGGGAUGCUGAGUUUCGGGCGGAUCGGAUCCUUGUCGGGUAUUUCGGCGCAGGAGCUGUUCCUCUGGUUUCCGGUUAAGGGUAUCCGGAUCGACGUGCCCAGCUCCGGCAUCAUUUACUUCGAUGUCGGCGUCGUGUAUAAGCAGUUCUCGCUGUCGCUGUUCGAAACGCCGCCUGAUUGCACGGCCGCCUCCGGCAGCUUUGAAGCCAUUGGAACCGUUUCCAAGAGUAAAUCGGGGAAAUUGCGGUCCAAGCUCAAUUAUGAACUCGGUGGGAGAUAUUUUGUGUAGAACUUUGGAGGGAGAAGUGGUUUGGAAUUGUGAGUUUUGCAGAGUCUGGAUUAGUGUGUGUUGGGUUGAGUUUUUUUUUCGGUUUUCAGUGGCCAGUGAAUUCGAUUCGAAACCGAAGAUUGGAGGAGGCAGAGUUAAAACACAGUCAGUUUGUUGUGUCUCAGCUGCAAGAAGAUUGAGUGAGGCAGAAGAAACAAUGUAGUCAGGUGAAGCCCAAAUCAGGUCUAAAACCUUGAAGGACUCUGUGUCAGUUGUCUGAGAGAGUUAGAGCAGAUGCUUUGAUUGAUUAGUGAUGUGACUUUAAUCAGAGUAAAUUCCUUUUGCACUGGAUUUUUGUUCCGGGAAGUUUCUGUCCGAUCAAAUUUUGGUUUCUUUCAUCCUUCUUUUCUUCUUUGUCAGAGCAGAAGCUAUGCAGAUGGUAUAUGUGUAAUAUUUUGUUCAUUGAGAAAUGUUAGGGAGAUCUUUGCCACCUCAUAUUUUUAGCACAAUGUUUUAUAAUUUUAGCACGAGAAAUAAUGUUAAACUGUGAGGUAACAGAGAAUCUAGAGAGUCCCACUUUGAAUCAGUCUCCUUGGCAUUUACCUUGUUCUUUUAUGCAAGCAAAAAUAUGGGGACUUAGAAUGUAAACGUAAUGCUUUUAGUUACUUGAACUACGAGCCCUUUAUGUGACAAUUUUUCUUUCGGCUACAUGUGUUAUAGUUGAGGCAGACUAACAAUAUAGUAGGAGCUUUCUUGUGGCAGAA